AUUGAACGCUGGCGGCAGGCUUAACAAAUGCAAGUCGAGCGAGCGGCGGACGGGUGAGUAAUGUCGGGGCAACUGCCUGAUGGAGGGGGAGGACUACUGGAAACGGUAGCUAAUACCGCAUACCAUCAGAUGUGCCCAGAUGGGAUUAGCUAGUAGGUGGGGUAAUGGCUCACCUAGGCGACGAAACCUCGCUGGUCUGCGAGGAUGACCAGCCCAACUGGACCUGAGACACGGUCCAGACUCCUACGGGAGGCAGCAGGUGGGAAUAUUGCGCAAUGGGCGCAAGCCUGAUGCAGCCAGGCCGCGUGUGUGAAGAAGGCCUUCGGGUUGUAAAGCACUUUCAGCGAGGAGGCGUUACUCGCAGAAGAAGCACCGGCUAACUCCGUGCCAGCAGCCGCGGUAAUUC
rnacentral:rRNA from 1 species